rnacentral:rRNA from 1 species
CACGUAGGGUGCGAGCGUUAAUCGGAAUUACUGGGCGUAAAGCGUGCGCAGGCGGUGAUGUAAGACCGAUGUGAAAUCCCCGGGCUUAACCUGGGAACUGCAUUGGUGACUGCAUCGCUCGAGUAUGGCAGAGGGGGGUAGAAUUCCACGUGUAGCAGUGAAAUGCGUAGAGAUGCGGAGGAACACCGAUGGCGAAGGCAACCCCCUGGGCCAACACUGACGCUCAGGCACGAAAGCGUGGGGAGCAAACAGG